CCAGAUUGAUGUUUCUCUCCACCCAAACAUCUCAGUGGAGUAAAGAAUAACAAGGCAGCAUUGCGGCAAACAUGUCUCGCCUCUCACCACAGGGCGGUUUUUCUCUCAUCUCGGAAUUGAACAAAUGCACAAUCGGGUUUUAAAUCGAGACAUUCAGUUCCCAGGGGCAGGCAGGAGACAGUGGCCUUCCUCUAUCUCAACUGCAAGAGGCUUUCCUCUUUUACUAAUCCACCUCAGCACAGACCCUUUACGGGUGUCGGGCUGGGGGACGGUCAGGUCUUUCUCAUCCCACGAGGCCAUAUUUCAGACUAUCACACGGGGAGAAACCUUGGACAAUACCCUGCUUUCAAGGGCAGAGGUCCCUGCGGCUUUCCACAGUGCAUUGUGCCCCUGGUUUAUUGAGACUGGAGAAUGGCGAUGACUUUUACCAAGUAUACUGCCCGUAAACAUUUUGUUAACAAGAGGGAAGAUUAAGCAUGGAGACAGUCACACAACACUGCCAUCUUUUACCCAAAUAAAUAGUCAUCACUUUACAGUCUUGUGCCAAAGCAUUAUCCAUUAGCCAGACUGCCUGAGAAAGGCAAAAGACUCCCGACAUCUGGAAAUCUUGCAGGCUUUCAAGGCUGCCUAUCUGCUUAUAAAACAAGGAUGUGUCCGUUAUAGCUUUAAGUCUGCACUCUAUGUCUAGCUCCUAAAACUAGAGUCUGCCAGGUUCCACGCUGAUGAUGCUCAUCUUCCUGGGUACAGAACAAAGACAAGAUAAGGUCAACCAUUCUUCUGCCACCCGCCAUCCUACAAGCCUUCUCCCUGUAAGGAAAUAUGUAAAUUCUAAACCUCCUGAAAACCUGUUUGGAUAACGUCAGACACAGACAUGUCUGUGACUUGUGUUUUUCCCCAACACACCCUCAAGCUCUGGCUUAAUAAAACUUGAUCAAUUGAGA
rnacentral:lncRNA from 1 species